rnacentral:misc_RNA from 1 species
UGUACUCUCACUCUCCCGAUCUUUGGAUUGGGAGUGGUGGACUUGGGUGUUGCCACUUUACCGUGGCUCACCUCAAAUGCAUUCGUGCAACUCCUGGUUGGACAUAGUACGGCGUGAUAAGUGUCUUCGCCGGCACCUCACUAGAGGGUGGCUGAUUAGGAGCUCUGUGCUUUCAAACCGUCUUCGGACAAUAACUGACA